GACACAUGCAAGUCGAGGGGUAACAGGGAGUGCUUGCACUCUGCUGACGACCGGCGCACGGGUGCGUAACGCGUAUGCAACCUACCCUCCACAGGGGGAUAGUCAAUAGAAAUGUUGAAUAAUACCCCAUACGAUCUAAAGAUCACCUGAUCAAUAGAGGAAAACUCCGGUGGUGGAAGAUGGGCAUGCGUCCUAUUAGUUAGUUGGUGAGGUAACGGCUCACCAAGACUACGAUAGGUAGGGGUCCUGAGAGGGAGACCCCCCACACUGGUACUGAGACACGGACCAGACUCCUACGGGAGGCAGCAGUGAGGAAUAUUGGACAAUGGAGGCAACUCUGAUCCAGCCAUGCCGCGUGCAGGAAGACUGCCCUAUGGGUUGUAAACUGCUUUUAUACAGGAAGAAAUGUACCUACGUGUAGGUAUUUGACGGUACUGUAAGAAUAAGGAUCGGCUAACUCCGUGCCAGCAGCCGCGGUAAUACGGAGGAUCCAAGCGUUAUCCGGAAUCAUUGGGUUUAAAGGGUCCGUAGGCGGUUUUUUAAGUCAGAGGUGAAAUCCUGCAGCUCAACUGUAGCAUUGCCUUUGAUACUGAGAGACUUGAGUUAUUGUGAAGUAGUUAGAAUGUGUAGUGUAGCGGUGAAAUGCAUAGAUAUUACA
rnacentral:rRNA from 1 species